AAUUGGUAAUUUUAUUGUUUCAGUUCUAAUGAGUUAUUUGACCUGACACUUUCUUCAAUUAUUAUGAUAUUUUGGUGAUGGAAAUGUUACAAGAAUGUUCUUAAUUUCCAUUGCAUACUGAAUCCUCUGUUUCUUGAAGUUAUUUGUUUGAGUAUUUGUUCUUGGGACUUAUUGAAUUUGAGAGACUUAGCCAUAUUCUGGUA
rnacentral:misc_RNA from 1 species